CCAUAAGCAAUUAAUAUUAGGAAAAAACAAGGAAUGGAUUAUAUUUAUUAAAACUGGCCUUCAAAAAAUUUUCAACUUCAAUUCCUAGCUAAGAGUACAUGCUUUCAACAAAAACAAAAUCUCCCAUUGUCAUAUUGUCAAAGUGCAUCAUACGUUAACCAAAUCCAUCACAAUAUGCAGCUAGUGCCCAACUUUCCGUAAAUUCUGGCAACAAUUUUUUUCUUCAGCCAAAGCAGUUAUCACAACAAACUCCACCCCAUAAAUUUACAUUUAAAAAACCAAAAUAUAAUAAAUGAAAUAGAGG
rnacentral:misc_RNA from 1 species